rnacentral:lncRNA from 1 species
GAAUAAUUCGCAAUUAAACGGCAUUAAUUAUUUAAUAUAUAUAUAUUUUUUUGUUUAUGGAAUAUUUAAAUGAAGUUUGAUCGGUUUAAACUUCAAAAUCGUUCUGUAUUAUUGCAUUAUUAUCUGUCGGAUGCGAACAACGAUUUGGAUCUAUUCUUGCGCCUGUUUGUGUGCUUUGGUGCCUUUAUGUCUACAUUCUUCCGACUCCAGUCAUCGCCAUCGUGUCAAUCGUCACGAAAAACAUCAUUCGAGAUGAAAUAUCUCAAAUUUUCUAGCACAAUUCGUCCUAAUUCCCAUAUAACUUAUCAUUUUUUUUUUUUGCCAAUAAUAGUCUGAACAUCAGAAAAAAUUUAUCCUUCGAUAUUUUACGAGGCAAUUACUAGUUAUCUUUUUUUUUUUUCCCCCUUCUCUUUACUAAGGUAAGGAAAAAAGUUCUAGUUGUUAAAAUAAGAUUUCGUUUCAAGAAAAGAUGGAGGAAUAUCUAUUAAUAUAAACCUUGAUCUCGGCCGAAUUGAUGCUCGGCUUUUCGUUCUUUUGUUAAAUCAAUACAGAUGACGAAUAUACCUUUUUAAAGAGAACAGGAACACGCCCAUACAUCAAAACAUCCGUGGGUUGUACUGUGUAAUCUUAUGGAAUAAAAUAGAACAAGAAAAAAAAGGUCAUUAAAAUCGUUAACGCCUCUUAGUAUAUAAGUUUUAACGUUCGGCAUUUACAGAGAGUAAAGAUAACAUGAAAAUAUGUGUUAGUUCGUAAUUCGAUUUUCUAGUAAUUUUCGUGUUACAGUAUAAGUGAUUAGAUUAAGUGAUACACUGCACGGAGUUAAUGAGUGGAAAAUUCCGGAAUUUUUUCGUUAAUUAAAUUUAUUGCACAGAAUUAUUUUUAUCAAAGAAUAAUACACGAUAUAUCAGAAACGUUAACGAAUGGAGGACAUUUUUUAACACGUAAUUUAAAAAUAUACGGCGGAAUAUUAUUUGACGAAUUUAUUGAUGUUUUCAUUGGCAUUUUCUGUGCGAUUGACUUAUCUCGCCGAUAAUAAUCAGUCACAUGGAAAAUGCCAAUAAAAGCAUCGAUAAUAUCGCAAGAUCUUGUGAUAGAGUAACUCUAUGAGAAGAUUCUCAUAUAUAAUAAAUACAUCAUGGUUACUGGCUUAUUUAUGAGCUUCAUCUGAGAUAAACAAAUUUUGAUAGUUAUCAUUUGUUAACAGCGAAUAAAAAAUCAACAUUUCAAUGCUAUUAAAAGUAAGAAUUCAUCACAGUAGCUAUACUCGAGAUGGUACAGUAUUUCUGUUCAUGUCAUUCGUCAGGCACUUUAUCAUUCUGUUCUUGACAAGUAUGUAGGAAGGAUUUUUCAAAUGUCACUUCUGUUACCGUUUUUCACCAACUUAAUAAAGUUCUAAGAAAAUCUGAAUCCGUACUAGAGUAUAAAUAAAGAUAAAAAUAUCACUUACAGCUAGAAAUUAGCAAUAUCCAUAAGAGGGAUACAUUUAUACAUAAAUGCAAUUGAUGAUGAUAAAAAUGUUAUUCGGGAUAGUUUUUCAAGAUUAGUCAUUCAGUGAUCAUUUUUCUGACUUUUUAAACAGGAGUGUUUACAUUCGGCAGAGGCGAAAGUCGACUGUUAACAAAUGAUGAAUACAAAAAUAUCACAGAGUUGACAAAGUUGUAAGUACUCAGAAUGUAAAGAAGACCCGAGAAACUGCAUGUCAACAGUUGACAUAUUUAUUCUGGCAUCGAAUUUUAUUUAAUAAGUUUGUAAGCAAACAAAAGUGCAGAGGAUACAAUAAUAUUUUUUUAUAACAAGAUAUCCCGGGUUAUUUUUAUGUCGUUACUAUGCCGAUUCGAUAUAUUUUUUUUUAUUCAUAAUGCAAUUUUAUUUAUUUAUUUACUUUUUAAACUCGUAUAUUUGGCAAUUUUCCACAUAUGUUUUUCCUUUGGUAAAUGGAUGAAAG